UGUGAUCUUCAUUUUCUGAUGAGGGAACAGAGCCUCCGUGCCCCCGAGAUCACUGGGCUGGGGUGGAUGCCAACACUGGCCCCUGGGGUUGUUGGUGAGAAACCUCGAUCAGCAAGAGGCCAGGGAGUGCUGGAGGCUGCUCUGGGGCUUCCGCCCGCUGGCCGCUGAGGUGAGAUAUUCAAAUAUCGGUGGGCGGGUUUUUCCCAGGUUAAUCCUCUCUUAACUGACUGCACAGCCCAGAGGGAAAUAGAAGAAUCUCCAGGCCACCUUCAGAAAUGAAGAUGGAUUCCUCGCAGAGUGCUAGCAGGAAGAUACCUGAUGGGCCGUCUAGUUCAACAGAUUCCUCCCCAUUCCACAGACAGCCCAGAGAGGAGAGGCACAAAGGAUAAUAAUGACAAAGAAUAGACAUGACUGUGAUCCAGCAGCUACAUUUGCCGUGUGCCCACUUGCGUGCCAGGCUUUGGGCCAGCUGCUCUGUGCACUUGCUUUUCAUGAUUCUGCCAGGUAUGGAUCGAUGUACCCACUUUACAGAUGAUAAAACCGAACUCCAAGGAGAGAAUGAUAUGAACAGAAGCUAUCUCAGAGCUGGAGGCUUGGUUAUGCUCCUUACUCACCCCACCACAUUGAAUCCCUCAACAAGCUGUCAGCAGCGACGUCAUUAGUUUCAUUUCACAGAUACACCUCUGAAAUGAACUCGUGUUUUACUUUGGUCUCCCCUGGUUUUCCAGGCCUCCAAGCAGCCUCUGGGGCCACCUUCCCUGCUGGCCAGCUGUGUCCUUUCCUGCUGGAACCACCCAGACCCAGGCUCCCCAUGCUCAUCAGCCUUGAGCCUAGCAUCUCCUUGGGACUGACCUGCUGGGUGGCCACUCCCCCAGAGCCACCUACUCACUAUUACCUGCUAGAUGCCUUAUGGAGCCUCACCCUGCUGCCCAGGCUGGCGAUUUCGGCUCACUGCAACUUUCGACUGCUGGAUUCAAGUGAUUCUCCUGCCUCAGCCUCCUGAGUAACUGGAAUUACAGGUGCAUGCCACCAUGCCCAGCUAAUUUUUUGUAUAUUUAGUAGAGACGGGGUUUCACCAAUUUGGCCACGCUGGCUUCGAACUCCUAAUCUCAAGUAACCCACUCGCCUCAGCCUCCCAAAGUGUUGGGAUUACAGGCAUGAGCCACCGUGCCCAGCCUCUCUCUCUUUUUUCAAAGUAACUUUUAUUAUGGAAAAAAAUUGAACAUCUAUAAACUGAGUAUAGUAAUAUAAUGAACAUCCAGCCUCAACCUUGAUUAACAUUUUGCCAUUUUUGUUUCAUUUAUGCCCACUCCUUCCCCCACUUAAUUAUUUUCAUAGUUUUUCAAUGUACAAUUUUAUGCAUGUUGACAUGCACAAACCUUAUCUGUAUGGUUCUGACAAAUUUGUUCCACAAUUGUAACACACAUUCCUAUGAAAAUAUUAAAUAUUUUCAUCACCUCACAAAGUUUAUGCUUUUAUCCAAUCAAUAGUCCCUUCCCAGGGCAACUGCUGUUCUGAUUUUUUUUUUCACCAUAGGUUAAUUUUGCCCGCUGGAGAAUUUCAUAUGAAUGGAAUCACAGUAUGGACUUUUUUGUGUACAACCACCUAUAGUCAAGCUUAAUGCCUGUGAGAGGAAUCCAUGUUGAACAGUGUAUCAAUAGUUGGAUUUUUUUUUUUACUAUAGAGUAGAAUUUCACUGUAUGAAUAUACCAUGGUUCAUUUAUUCAUUACCCAUUAAUGAAUCUGUGGGUUGUUUCUGGUUUUUAGUUAGUAUGAAUAAAGUCAUUGUGAAUAUUUAUGCAUAAUCUUUGUGUGGACAUGUGUUUUCAUUUUUCUUGGCUGUGUCUGGUGGUGAAAUUUGUGGGUCACAUGAUAAGUAUAUAUUUUACUUUAUAAGAAACUGUUAAAUUGUUUAUGAAAAUGGUUGCAUCAU
rnacentral:lncRNA from 1 species